GCAGCGUAUCGGAUUACUGGGCGUAAAGCGUGCGCAGGCGGUUCGCUAAGACAGAUGUGAAAUCCCCGGGCUUAACCUGGGAACUGCAUUUGUGACUGGCGGGCUAGAGUAUGGCAGAGGGGGGUAGAAUUCCACGUGUAGCAGUGAAAUGCGUAGAGAUGUGGAGGAAUACCGAUGGCGAAGGCAGCCCCUGGGCCAAUACUGACGCUCAUGCACGAAAGCGUGGGGAGCAA
rnacentral:rRNA from 1 species